rnacentral:misc_RNA from 1 species
AAACCGUAUGUUGACGAUAUGUGUCAAAAUGGCGUCUGUCACCUGUCGGAGUUCUUAGCUAUGUGAACCGUGUAAAGUAUUUGACGUUGUCCUUUGAUUAUUCGUGGAUGAUGAGUGCACACCCAAAUACUUAGAAAUAUAAACCAAGCAUUAAAGUAGUCUAGUGAAUCCUAUCAGGUCGUAAUGGCGUACUCAGUGUGUGAAAACCUCCGUGGAUUUGCCUACAGUCGUCCUCCACUGGUCAUCUUCAUGAUAUGUCUAGCUACGUUCGCCAUCGCCCUUGUCACAUUUGCCUAUGUUGUCAAAAUGAGAGACAUGCCCAAUCCAGAUAUUCCAGAGGAUUGGAAUACCUUCCUGGAGAGUUUUGCUGAUGUGGAUUUUUGUGUGUUGAGCAACUCCAGUGAUUAUGCAUCAGACGCUACCACAGCUGGCACCACAAGACACAACCGUAACACGAUGGAUGGCCAGCAUGAAGUCACAACGACUGCUACGUUACCACCAGAUGGUGUUGUCAACGUAUCACUGUCGAUGAUGGUGGAGAUGCAGCCUACCCAGGACUUUGUCAACAUCCCCCACAAUGUGACAUACCUGUCCACAACACUGAUGGGGGACCAGCUCGGUCUGUAUGGUGAAGCAGCCGACCUUGAGAUGAAUGUGACCUUCGUGUUGCCGUUCCAGUGGAACACGUCACGGUGCAACCGGCGAGGGAUCUGUGAGCCGGUCAACAUCUACACCUGCAUCAGCUUCCAGGCACCAGUGUCAUUCUUCCCCCACACAAAGAAGCCUGACAUGUGCCAUGGCAACUCGGAGUCUGGGAUUGAGUACCAUGUGAAGAUGGUUGGUCUGAAGGGAACUCGCAGGCACCCCAAGGUGUUGUGGUGCAACAGUCAGCCAGUGCUGCAUGUCCGCUACAAGCUGGACCCCAGCCUCACCGUAAUGUUGUCAUUGCAUGACCGAUCUGUCAUCAACCUCCACUUGAUGCACACAAGUUACUUCCUGUUUGUGAUGGUUAUCACACUGUUCUGCUACGCCAUCAUCAAAGGGAGGCCACCCAAGACCAAGAUCGUUCAACAGAUUCAUGUUGAAAAGAUUCCAAACAAAGCAUAGGUGGCAUCUUGUGGAAGAGGAAGUAGUUAAUGAAGAGAGUAGGGUGUUCACAUCAAUCAGGAAGAAGAGUGGUUUCAAAUUAUCCUGCAACAAGUUCUUUUAACAUGCGGACCAGGUGUGAACAUAGUGGAGAGGUCUACAUUCAAAAACAAAACCUACACACGGGAGCUUAAUCUUGGCUUGAUUCCAUUUGAUAAAAUCUAUUCCAUAAUCCUUGCAUAUGCAAGGUUGCUAUGACCACAACCUAAAUGACUUCUUGGUUUCACAUUUGUAGAAAGUGAGAGAAAAGUGAAAGAAGAUGGAUGGUAUAGAUUUCUUCUCUCUCUCAAAAGUACCUCAACAUAUGUUGGAAUACAACCCUGCAAAGCUUUCAUCUUGAUUACUUCAGUUGUAAUUAUAGAAUUAUUUGUGUUUCAAAAACACGAAGCAGUCUUGAUGAGCAAAGACAGAAACAUUUCCAUCACUUCUGUGUCAGAUUUGGAUCAAAACAAGAAGUGGUGAAGGAGGAGUUGUUCCGGAUGUCGACUGGAUGCUUCACAAGAUAUGGGGGCUGUUUAAAUUCAGUGUUUGAUAUUUAGUUAAACAUGUUUAUACAUCCUUUGUUGUUAGUAUGUCUUGGGAUUGCAGUGAGGGCACCUACUUUGAGUCAAUUGGUCCAUCUUGCAAGGGCACCUGUUUUGAGGCCAUUGAUGCAGGUUUUUGGGGUACAUGUCAUUGGUUCUUCUUGCAAACUUAUGAAAAACCAAGAGAAGCUGACAAGAUUUUCUUUGCAAUACAUAUGAAAAAUCAGAAACUUUAAAUUUGUUUGUACCAUACAGCGAAUGUUUCUGAUUGGAUUUUUGUUUUUGUUUCUUUUGUACAGAAUAUUUUGCUUUUUGAAGUCCUUUGCUUAAAAAACAGCCGGCAUGGUACCAACUAUAGAAAAC